UAGAUAACACAUGGGUUGUGAAUACUCAUU
rnacentral:piRNA from 1 species